rfam:Gossypium arboreum cultivar AKA8401 contig_34994_5, whole genome shotgun sequence.
AAUAGUUUUAUGCCACAUCAGUACUCUUAUCCUGAAUUUCAGGAUUUUAUCCUGGAAAAAAUCAAAUCCAAAUUAAAAUACAAAAAUUCAGGAUAAAAUCAUGAAAUUCAGAAUAAGAAUACUGAUGUGGCAUAAAACUAUU